rnacentral:rRNA from 1 species
GACGAACGCUGGCGGCGUGCUUAACACAUGCAAGUCGAACGAAGUGGCGAACGGGUGAGUAACGCGUAAUCAACCUGCCCUUCAGAGGGUGACAACAGUUGGAAACGACUGCUAAUACCGCAUACUGAAGGAGGGGAUUGCGUCUGAUUAGCUAGUUGGAGGGGUAACGGCCCACCAAGGCGAUGAUCAGGAGCCGGUCUGAGAGGAGGAACGGACACAGUGGGACUUAGAAACGGCCCAGACUCUGACGGGAGGCAGCAGUGGGGAAUCUUCCGCAAUGGACGAAAGUCUGACGGAGCAACGCCGCGUGAGUGAUGACGGCAUUCGGGUUGGAAAGCUGUGUUAAUCGGGACGCGGUACCGGAAUAGAAAGCCACGGAUAACUACGUGCCAGCAGCCGCGGUAAUAC